GGCAGUCGGCCGGCGGCGGGCGGGGGCGGCGGCCGCGCCGACUAGACGUUGUCAGACGGGCCGGCGCCGCGGGCGGAACGACAGGUCGGGAGCAGCUCAGGUUUGGUGGCUGCUGGGAGGCGUUUACAACUAGCUGGACUUUCUGCAUCAUAUCGACGACUGUCAAACUGGAGGUCGGCGUGGCGUCUUCCCUGCCUGGUCUAGCCGGCCUGCAAAACCGGCCAGGGCCACGGCCGCGCCCGCCCGUCAGCCCGCCCGCCCUCAGAUGUCACCCGGUCGGCAGCGCCCGUCGUCCCGGUCGGACUGCGUCGGACGGGUCGCCCCAGCUGCAACCAGCGCGCGUUUGGAGGUGCCCCGACCAGGCACCAUAGUCGCAUGCGGCCGUGGCGGGCGCAGCGUAUGAUGGGCGGCAUAAAUCAUUUCUCCGUUCCGCUGCGCUUGCAAAUGCAUGACUGAUGAAUAUGGGUCUGUGUAUUCGUACGUUUGUACACCCGUCAUGCACUUUGGGUGCAGAUUACGCUUACACAGCCAGCAAUGCAUGGAAACACAGUACCACAGGCGGCGGCGGGGUGGCGGUGGACAAUCGGAAAGACAAGAACGCUGAACAAUGUGUAGGAUCAGUGUUCGCGGCACGGCGUGGGCGCACAGACUGAGCCAAUAGUGUUGGAGCCACACGGCAGGUGUCGCUGCAGUGGCGCCCGCGGACAGAGAAAGUU